rnacentral:tRNA from 1 species
GGGCCCGUAGUCUAGUUUGGACAGGACGCUGAGCAACACGAGCCGGAGAUCCGGGGUUCAAAUCCCCGCGGGCCCG